GUGUGUGUGUGUGCGCGCGUGUGUGCACUUCGGAAAUGUUCCCACAGGUCCACAUGGAGGACAUGCCAAGCAUAAGCGGCUGGAUGCACAACACAGGCAGCUCAUUCACUCCUAGCUUUAAUACCUACACAGCCCACGGACCACUCGCUACAUGCACUCUCUCCUUCAUUCACACACACACUCACUCUCUCUACAGAAGCUGUCUGCAUGUGUUAAAAUGGGCAAAAAAUAAUCCAAAAAACAUUAGGCUGACUUCAAAUGUAUUCAAGCACACUGACGCAAAUGAUUCUCGUGCUUUUCCACCUCUCGCUGCCUCACUCAUGUAGCAGCCUUUUGCAAUAACAAAGACAUGAAUGAAGAAUCCCCCCCCCUUCCUCCCUCCCUCCACAGUUCCCACAUCACGUCACACGCCUCAUACAUCAAGAUCACUGCAGAUGACAAAAAGGAUAUCAAUGGACCCCCCCUUUUUUCUUUCUUUCUUUUUUUUUUACCUGGUCGCAGGUGGUGUUGUCCUCCGAUUCUGAAUGACUGGAAACAGGGAGAGCAGAGAGACACGAAGACGAGGAGAGAGAGAGAAAGGAUGAAUGAGAGUUACGCUGAAGGCAGAGAGAAAGCAGCCUGAAAGCUCACAGAUAGGAGGAGCAUUGAGGGAGUACCAGCCGGUAGGAUGCAGACAGGCAGUGAGCUGCUCAUCUGGUCAGGCGUAAAAAGGAGAAGCCGAGAGGAUUGGAAGAGAGCCCAGGGUGUCCAUCCUGCUCCAGGCCACAGAGAAACCUUGUGACAACAGGGCUCCAGAUUCGAAAAUGAUGUGAUGAUGUGUCUGCUCGCAUACAGACAUUCCUGGCAAAAUGCUACCAGCAGACAAUCUUAUUCUUACUAAUCAACUAUUGAUUGAUUGAUUGAAUCUUUAUUUUGAACAUGUUGAAAAAGUAUAAAAAAAAAAAUAGAAUUAAAAGAGACAAAUGAACAAAGCAAACAAAAGGAAAACGAGCAACCACAACUCCAAAUAACGUCCAUGUUCAAAAAGGAGCAGGAAGAAGCAUAAGCUUAUUUAAUCCCACCCCUUUUCCACUAUCUAGUAUCAAUAGACUACAGAAAUACCUCCUUGUAAUUACAUUAUAUGUUAUGUGUAAUUUUUUUUUUUUUUUUUAAUAUAUACACAUAUAUGUUUCUAUCUAUCCAUACCUACGUAUAUACACACAUACGCACAUAUACACAUUUUCAAUAACCCCAUUAACACCUGAAGGAUACACAACCUACAAUUUUAUAUAUAUAUAUA
ensembl:lncRNA